rnacentral:rRNA from 1 species
AAGCAAUUAUACCGCGAAACUGCGAAUGGCUCAUUAUAUAAGUUAUCGUUUAUUUGAUAGUACCUUACUACUUGGAUAACCGUGGUAAUUCUAGAGCUAAUACAUGCUAAAAAUCCCGACUUCGGAAGGGAUGUAUUUAUUAGAUUAAAAACCAAUGCCCUUCGGGGCUCACUGGUGAUUCAUGAUAACUCCUCGAAUCGCAUGGCCUUGUGCCGGCGAUGGUUCAUUCAAAUUUCUUCCCUAUCAACUUUCGAUGUUUGGGUAUUGGCCAAACAUGGUUGCAACGGGUAACGGAGGGUUAGGGCUCGACCCCGGAGAAGGAGCCUGAAAAACGGCUACUACAUCCAAGGAAGGCAGCAGGCGCGCAAAUUACCCAAUCCCGACACGGGGAGGUAGUGACAAUAAAUACUGAUACAGGGCUCUUUUGGGUCUUGUAAUUGGAAUGAGUACAAUUUAAAUCCCUUAACGAGGAACAAUUGGAGGGCAAGUCUGGUGCCAGCAGCCGCGGUAAUUCCAGCUCCAAUAGCGUAUAUUAAAGUUGUUGUGGUUAAAAAGCUCGUAGUUGAACCUUGGGCCUGGCUGGCCGGUCCGCCUCACCGCGUGUACUGGUCCGGCCGGGCCUUUCCCUCUGUGGAACCCCAUGCCCUUCACUGGGUGUGGCGGGGAAACAGGACUUUUACUGUGAAAAAAUUAGAGUGCUCCAGGCAGGCCUAUGCUCGAAUACAUUAGCAUGGAAUAAUAGAAUAUGACGUGUGGUUCUAUUUUGUUGGUUUCUAAGACCGCCGUAAUGAUUAAUAGGGACAGUCGGGGGCAUCAAUAUUCAUUGUCAGAGGUGAAAUUCUUGGAUUUAUUGAAGACUAACUACUGCGAAAGCAUUUGCCAAGGA